CCUGAAAGCAGAGGCAGGAGGAGAGUCAGCGGCCUGGGCACAGAGUCGCGCCGUGGCCACCGGGAGGGGGCUACCUGCAGUGCACCUUCCUUCCGUCCAGCUUCUGUCUGUCCUUCCUCCCAGCCUGCCGGCCGUUCUCUCUCUCUUCCUCCCACCUUCCCUUCUACCUCCAAUGUCUGCUCUGCUGCCCCCGAACCAGGCCAGCCGAGGCCUGCCUUCCAGAAACUCAUGGUAGGGUCAGGAAAGAAAGAAGCAAACAGGAAAAUGACGGAGUCCAGGGAGGCCGGCAGCAGGUGCGAGGGGCAGAGCUGUCACCACGGAGGGUUGGACCUGCUGAUUUUCAAGGGUGUCUUCAGCACUGACGAGCUGGGUGUCCUGGUCAAGGUCCUGCAGUGCCCCCGAAACUCAGCUUUCUCUUCUUAAAGAGGAGGCAAGAUACCCCUGCCCCUUGGGAAUUCUGAGAGGGAGCAGUGAAGGGGCCGUGUCUACGCUUGACCCAUCUUAGGGCCUCCGAUCGCACGCUCUGACCCCACUGCACCUCUGCCAUGGCUUCCCAUAGCUCAGGAAGAAGCUGGGACUCUACAACAGGCUCUGCAGGCCCACGUGACGUGUGCCCCGUGGCCGCUCCUCACACCCCGUUCCAGGGGCUUCUCCACCUCCGUGGGCUCCAUCCUGCCUCAGCAGCCACGUGUGGCCUGAGAUGUGGCAAGUGCAAGUGGAGACACGCUGUCCAUGGAAGGUCUGGGCCAGGUUUCCGAGUCUUAAGAGAAUACAACCUCCCACAGUGACUGUUUUCCGUACUGACGGCAGGCCGAAAUCAUCGUGCGGACGUGAUGGGUUAACGCUACUGCGGAGUGGUACGUGUGAGAGCACAGCAGCAACAAGGGACGAGGUGACGUGUCCGGGGGAGUGUGAGUGCGGUGCGUUUGCGAGGCUUCCCAGAGGACGGCUGCCCGAACUUAAGAGAGCCGGGGACGGGGAGUGGGGGAGGGGCGGACCCUACAGAAACGGGGAGCUCAGACGGUGCCCUGGAGGGCGGGGAGCCACGGGCGGGGGAGCGCGAGGGGUACCUGGAGGUCCAGCAGCCCCGUCAGCAGGGCCUUCCCAGCAUGCGCUGCGUUGUUCAGCAGGUCCUCCCGCUUGAUGAUGUUGAUGACCUCGGCCAGCAGCAGGUUCUUGGACGGGUCCCCCAGCCAGGUGUUGAAGAUCCGGUAUGGCUGAAACGAGGCCCAGGGUGUUGGAAGGGUUCAUACACGGGCACACCCUGGAGGGGCCCCACUUCCUUCAGACACGUGUCCGUCUUGGGAGGAGAGAAACCGGACCAACGAGCAUCUACCAAGGCCCGGGAGGAACCGAUACAUGAUGGCUGGAGCUCCAGCAGUGAUUUUGGAUCAUCAGGCAAUCUUGAAGGUGGAAAGCACAUGCAGGAAUAGCAGAAGAAAAGAUCCCGGGCCCCUGAUGACUGUGUGUGUGUGUGUGUGUGUGUGUGUGUGUGUGUAUGAGAACCCCUAUGUAUAUUUGGCAGUACAGUGUACUGGUUUAGAGCAUGGGCUCCUCAUUUGAAUCCUGGCUUCGUCACUUAACAGGCUGUAUGAACUUGGACAGUUUAAUUAACCUCUCCAUGCCUGGUUUUUCGUUGGCAAAAUAGGAGAGAAAAAUAACACCUACUUGGUUAGAUUGUUUUAAGGAUUAAAAGGACCUGAGAAGUACUUGGAAUGGGGCCAGGCACAGAGCACGUGCUCAGUUCAAAGCAGCGGCUAGUAACAACAUUAUCCUAUGGGCACAUGGAGAUCAGGAGACUGACAGUGGGCUCUGAGGAAGUUGCCCCGCACAAAGUUGGGUGAUCAUAACCACUGGUUAAUUACACUGGUAAGAAGUGGGUGUCAGGGGCCCUAUGUGACCUGGUAGGUGUCCACUCAGCUCCUGGUUUGGAGAAAGGAGUAGUGGGGAGCCAGGGUGGGUGGCUACUCACAGCAUUGGGUCUGAACUCCUCCUUGUGGAAGAAGCCCCCAGUCAUCAUCUUCUUGCUGAAGGUCAUCACGUCUGCAGGGUCAGCCAAGCCCCAGUGCUCGUGGGCCCAGAACUUGCCUGUGCAGCCCCCUCCCGUCUGGACCUCAUCCACCAAGAAGGCACAACCGUGCUGGCGGAGAUGGGAGAGAAGGAGCAAAUCAACACCCACCAUGUCGACCAACAUCCAACCAGCCAGAGACGUACCGCUUUCUGGUCUGUGAACCAGACCCCUGCUCCUGGGCCAAGCAGGUGCAUUGGAGCUGGACCUGAACCUGUCCUCAGACUGCUGAGCUAGAAUAGGACCGUAACAUCGAGUAUACCCUGAACCUACUCCCAGCAACACCGGAUUCAGCUUCAGGCCCUAAGUGAGUCAGCGACUUCCUCCGCGGGCUGGCGGUCCCAGCAGAGAGGCCCAGUCCUGCCUCCCAGGCUCCAGCUGUCCUGUUUGCCGGUUCCACUCACCAGCCCGACCGCCGGUUACCGUGUACGUGUUUAGAGCAGCUCCUGUCUUACUGGCUGGAUGUGCCAGUUGCACGUGCACGAGGUAUUAAAGUAAACACGGGAUAUUAGUCUAGAGUCUGCUCGCUUUGCGUCUAUGGAGUGUGGAUCACGCUGGGCUGAGAGAUGAGGUGGGGUCUGCAGAGAGAACCGGAGGCUGAGGCCUUCCCAGGCAUCCCUGGAUUGGGCAAGUCCCUGACUAACGUGGCAGGGUGGAGGCUGGUUCUGCAGUGAGAUUUUAGGGACAAACUCCUAACCUAGCCCCUGCCUCCAAUGCCCCUACCUGCGAGGCCAUCAGGCAGCCUCUGACCAUCUGGACAUGCUCGAGGACUCCAGAGCUAACUCUUUGCUCUGGAAACCAGCUGGAGAGGGCCCAUGGCCCCGACCGGCCCCCACGCCAUGCACUGACCUUCCUGGAGAUGUCUCUCAGCUUCCGGAAGAAGUCGUCAGACGCGUGGUUGUCCCCGCCCUCUGACUGGAUGGGCUCCACGAUGAUCCCUGCCACCGUCUUCUUCUUUUUCCGGUAUUUCACAAUCAGAUCUUCUACCUGCAUUCCCGGGGGGCAAGCAACAAUGGCUGCCUAGUAGGGCAGUGUCCGUGGAUGGGCAGGUGGUCUCCCCUUCCCCCGGAAAUGAUGCCAGACACGUGUUCAUGUGUACUUCCGGCGAAGAUGGCGGCAGCCAUUCAGAGCCGCCCGUGUGGGCGGGGAUGCGCCCUACUUGGGCCUGGUGCUAGCACCUGCAGGGGAGAAACUAAGGACUCGGGCCACAGAGGGGCUGGAUGAGACCACCCAGCACAGGCCCGGCAUAUGGGAAGGAGUUGCUGCCCCCACCGCAAGUACAAUGCUACGGCCACUGCAUCGUCAGCAUGAUACUGGUAGGAGAGUCCUUUCUGUGCAGAAUCUCAGAUACGUAUUUGUUUAAAAAAUGGUGAUUUCUAGAAAAACUCCCAUUAUAUAUGUAGCUAAAUAUUUCUGUUGCAUGGGGCUGUACUAGACUCCAUUCCCGUCACUUUUCUUUACCGCGAAGUACCUAGUACCUAGCACCUUGCUUCACAUGCAGUCCAUGUUAAUCAUUAACUGAUCGAAAAGGAUGACAUGUCUAAGGGGCAAAGCUGCCUCAAACCAGCCUCAUUUGAGCUCAGAUUCCAACCAGGAAGACUUUCCAGUGUCUUUUCCCCAGCAAAGACUCCUUCCAGAGUCUAACACGGAACGUAAUACGCAGGACAGAUCGAAGGGAGGGCUGCUGGUUAUGGCAGAGACGCGGCAUCAGGGCUGUCCCUCCCCUACCCCUCGCUGCAACCCCAGAGCAGCCCUAGGACUUGGGAGCGGGCUGAAAAGUGGUAGACAACAGGGUCCUAGGCGUCCACUUUUUCCGUGGGCUGCCCUGUAUCCUCAUAAAGCCUCUCUUGUUCCGGAGUCAGCGAAGCUUACCCCCAAAGAAACUUAAAUGGUACCAGAAAUCAGUACUGGAAACCGGGUGAUGGAUGCCAGGAGACAAAAUCAAGGUGUCCCGUUCCUUUUCCCGGUUCAGAACAUGUGGGACACAAGGCCUCUCAGUCCCCACGUCCCUCCCAGGGACCACCACGCAGGUCCCAGGCAAACUCUGCGUGCCCCUCCCCGAGGGGAAGGAGACGGGGCAGUAUUACCUCUUCGAGACAGCGGGCUUCUUCCUGCUGGUUCUCUUUCACAAAAUCUUCCAAAGGGUAUUUCAGCCGUGGGAACGGUGCAAUGGGCCAGUCGAAGGAAGGGAUGUCGAUCUUGUGAAUAGCUUUGGAGUGCGUGGUCGCUAAGCAUCCUAGGCCAGCAAAACACAAGGUGGUUGGGCUUGGGGAAGUAGGAGGAACAGUCUUCGAAAAGCAGAUCAUGGGCAAUUCAGGUCAUGUCUUCCAACCCCCAGGGAGGCCUGCUGCCUGGAGUUCCUGUGAUACUCUGAUGCUGAAGCAGAACCCGUGUGUGUGUGUGUGUGCGCGCGCACGCGCGCGCAGGCACGCUUUCCUUCCUGAUUCACUGCAGAUUCCGCACAAACUCUGAAGGCACGCAGGCACGGAGUCAGGGUUUGAAUCCCGGCUGUGCCACUGUCGGGCCCUGGCAUGUUCCUUCCUUGCCAGGCCCUGAUCUCCACAUCUGCAAAGUGGGACUAACAGUACCCGCUCUGCAGAGAACAGCGUGGAGUUAGUGAGAUGCUACAUGAAAACGGCCAAGGUGAGAUAUACGUGAAAACUGCGGCUGCUGCUGUUAAUCACAGUCUAACUGCCACCAGGGGCUCACCCCGGGCUCUCCUUACCCAUGGUCCUCCCAUGGAACGCGCCCAUGAACGAGAGGAUGCUGUACUCGGGGCAGCCGGGGGCCUAGGACCAGAAAACAGUGGUGGUCAGUCACAGUCUUAGGGCUGGGGGAUCGUACUGUUGACCCGUGCGCCUAGAAGAACACACAUGUCUGUCAGAAGAACCCGAGUCCGCUCUCAGGACCAAGUGAAGACCAAGUGAAGUCCCAAGGUCUACACCCGGCCCACAGACGCUCAAGUAAAAAUGUUUUCAAUCAAGAGAUUUCAUGUAACUCUCUAAACUUCUGGCUUCUUACAAGUUCUGCAUCAUCUGGGCCCAUUUUCCUCCCGUGGCCACUGCAGGUGGCUAAGGCCUAAAGGCUGGGCAGACACGUUGCCCCAGGGCCCAACACCUGCCGUAGGCUGCUGGGGCUUAUGAGUUUUGAGCUCAUACUGUGACCAGACUGCUCUGGCUUCCACUGCUCUGGUGGUCCAGACAUCUCCCGGGAUACAAGGCUGGGCAGGGCAUCUCACUGCAAGUCUCUGGGCUUUUGGAAGGGGUCUGUGGGCUGGGGCCAGAGUGGCAGCCUCUUCCUAUGAGGAUGCUGCCCGCGCUCCGGAGGGACGCAGGAACUCCCACGUGGACGGCACAGUGGUCUCAUUUCCAACCAAGCCAGACGCUUUUCCAGCUGCUUUAGGCAGACUACUGGGGGCCCAGAGUUGCUGGGAGGCUCACAUCACAUUUUCUCGGGCCGGCUGAUCUCCUCGGGGUCCCUGACAGCCCUGGGGAAGAGCACUAACCCUCCUUCCCCGUCCCCCAAACUCUGGAAUACCCUUCCUGCCACUUUCCGUAAUUGUCCCCUGAUGCCGCCACUAAACAUGAGCAACGGGACCUACAAGUGUGACGGAACAGGAUGCCCGUGGGGGUCAGGUGAGAAGGGGGGAGGCAUGACCCACUGUUUAUUAUAAAGACGGCCAGAAGGAAAAAGGAAGUGUUUAAGUUUAUGGAGGUUGGUGUGAACACAGAGAAAGAGGUGGAUGAGGGGAGAAAAAUUUAAGGAAGCAUGAAAAGAAAUUAAAAACAAUCUUACCACCCAGAGGCAACCCACUGUAAACAUAUUAGCGGGAUUCCUUCCAGUAAUCUCCUGUGUAUUUACUUACAUGGUUGACAGCACAGGGUCUGUGCAAUUUACCUUCCACUGUUCUCACUAAAUUACAGCUUGUGUGUCUCCAGGCCGAGAGAAACCCUUUGUGACUGUUUCUGCAGAAUCUUGCGGACGUAUGCAGGGGGGUCAUUGACUUCAGUGGCUCCUGUUUUUUUGUUUUUUGUAAUAGCAGCAGACCCUUCUGUCUAAGUCACUGAAUGGAAGAGGGCAGGCCUGCUCUGGCUGAAGCUGGCUGGGAGCUUGUGAUCUAGAUCUAUCCUCCUGGUUCUCCCUGUGCCCCUAGGCUCCCCCUCACCUCCGACACUGGCCUCCUUGGCACCUCUGUGGACCACUAGGGUUCCAUUCCCCCUUCGCCAUCUAUAUAGCUGGUUCUCAGUCUCUCCUGGUUAUCAAGACCAUAACCUCCAAUGGGGUGAACUCCCUCGUAUGUGCCUCUGUGCUGACAUUCUGGAUGAUUCUGGUGAGUAUAUUAAAGGCUCCUCAGACAGUCCAGUUCUGUCCUGGGAAACUGAUGCGUGCCGGUCAGGAAGGGCGCCCUUCAGUCUUGACACCAGAGGAAUGGACCAGGGAGGGGGAAUGCUUGGGAACCCCUUGGUAGGGAUGUGAUGUCUGUGUCCCUCCCAAAUAUCCAUGUGGAAACCUUCACCCCACCUCCCCGAAAUAUGGUGGUGUUUGGAGGAAGGACCUUUGGGAGGUGAUAAGGGUCGGAUGAGAUCAUAGGGUUGGGCCCUGGAGAUGGCGUCAGUGCCCUUAGAGGAAGAGAUCCCAGAGUGCCUGCUCUCUCCUGGACAUGUGAGGACAUGGUGAGAAGGCACCGUCCACAGGCCAUGCAGAGGGCCUAGCCCAGGGAAUGGGACUGACCUUGACCUUGGACUCCAGGCUCCGAACUGUGGGCACAUACUCCGUUGUGUAAGCUGCCUAGUCUGGGUGUGGGAUUGUGUUACAGGUGCCGAGCUGCAUGGGAUGCCUCCUCCCCGAGAGGGCCAGGGUCUGUGAGCCGCACGAGCCGGAGGGCGGGGCAGAAGGGUGCGCUGUGCUCACCUGGUUAAUCAUGCACGUCUCCAGCUCCUCUUUGGAGAAACCCGUCUGACCCCUCUCCUUGUUCUGACAACACACAACAGACGAGAUCUCAGAGACUCUCCGGGGAGGGAGGGCCUUCCCCGUUGUACGCAGACCCACGUUCUGUUGGGGUCCUUAGCGAGGGCUUUCUCCCGGCUGAUACAUAUGCUGACUGGCCCCCCUCUGCACUAUCAAGCGAGACUGUGCAUUGAGCUUGCAGCAGCAGAAGGGGCGGAACACACAGGAGCGUCACUGUGCUGCCAGCAACGCCGGACAGCUGCUGAGAUGGGGCACGUGAUGCCAAGGAAAGCCGGCGCAGUGACAUCGGGAAAAUUGAAAAUGCUCCUCAUGAAAAAAACCAGCAUAAGAGCAAGACUGAAGUAGACACACCCCAUCCUCAAAGGGGGUGGCUCUCGAUCCUCUCCUCCCGCUGCUGGUACCCCCUGAAAGAGAUGGAACCGCCCCCCAGCGGGGCUGGAAGCCAGAGGCAGGUCCCAGCAGGGGUGGGCAGUACCCGAGAACUCACCGAGAGCAAGGACUCCCGCAGCUUCUCCACGAAGUUCUCUGGAGGAAGGAUUCCAAGGGCAGGUCUAUUGAUGAAUGUGCUCUGCAAAAAGGCAGGAGACAGCCAGUGACUUCUCAGCCCUGACCCUGCUCCCUGCUGACCAGAGACCAACUGAGAGCUUCUCACAGCGGGUGUGUUUGGAUCGGUGUUCGCUAGGUGCUGGGAACAGCCCACUUCUGGAGAAAUCCACUAGGAUCACUCUAGGUGUAAAAAGAUACCGUCAUAUUUCCUGGUUGUAAUAUUGCACUGUAGUUCUAGAAGAUGCUACCAUUGGGGGAAGCCAGGAGGAGGUACGCUGCAUACUAUUUUUUGCUAACUUCCUGUUAAAUCACAAUUUUACAAUUUUAAAAUUAACUAUCGAUCCCAGGGUCCUGGGAUCGAGCCCCACAUCGGGUUCUCUGCUAAGCGGGGAGCCUGCUUCCUCCUCUCUCUCUGCCUGUCUCUCUGCCUACUUGUGAUCUCUGUCUGUCAAAUAAAUA